AUCUCUGCCCCUCAGAGUCCUGGGGAGGAUGGAUGGAACAGGAGGAGCAUCAUGAGAAGGCUUCCUGUAAACUACGGAGGGUGAGGGGACGGAGCGUGAGGGAACGUCGUGAGAUGGUGCUCGUGGAAGCCAGCAGAGGGUGUAGGGUCUCCUGGAGCCACAUCUCUGGAGUUACAUGAAGUUGUGGACCUCUCAACAUGGGUUCUGGGAACUGAACCCAGGUCCUCUGGAAGGACAUCGAGUGCUCUUAACCACUGAGCCAUCUCUGCAGCCUAACCCCAUCCCUUGGAGGCUGAAGCAAAGCAAGUUCAAUGACCGUGCGACCUGGCUCUUGUUUGGGCCUAAGGAAAAGCCGACUGUAAGCCGGGAAGCAUCUCUGGCAAGAACAAGGAAGGAUUAAGCACGUCUGUGGUUGUGCGCAGGGAUCACAAGGUGCUCCUGCAGUGGGAAGAGCCACCACUAGGGGCGCUCCAAGUCUUGUAUUUUCUACCUUGAAAACUCGUUUCCCUGUGGCUGCCCUCCAAAUCCAACGGAGAUGAAUGGCUUUUAGUUUACCUAGCUGAUUUAAUAAACUUUAAAAAUAAAUGU
ensembl:lincRNA Bvht braveheart long non-coding RNA